GCCCAAUAUCUAGCUCUACCCCCCCCCCCCAAAAAUUAAAUAUCCUAAAACCCACUAACAAAACAUUCUCAUAGUUCAGUAAAGGCGAUUAAAAAACCAAUAGAAGCUUCAGAAAUUGUACCGCAAGGGACUGAUGAAAUAAAAUGAAAUAAAACAAAGCACAUCAAAGCAGAGAUUAAUCCUCGUACCUUUUGCAUCAUGGUCUAGCUAGUCCAACCAAGCAAAAUGUUUUUACAGUUUGACUCCCCGAAACUAAGUGAGCUACCUCAGAACAACUUUUAGAGCCAACCCUUCUCUGUUGCAAAAGAGUGGGAAGAUUCUCAGGUAGCGGCGAAAAACCUAUCGAACUUAGAAAUAGCUGGUUAUUCAAGAAACGGAUCUUAGUCCAACCUAAAGUACAUAAAUAAAUCUAUAAUUCCACUUUAGCGUCAUUCAAAUAAGGUACAGCUUAUUUGAACCAGGAUACAACCUCAUACACCGGGUAAUGUCUUCACCAAAUAACCAAGUUGACCUAAAAGCAGCCACCUUAAAAAAAGCGUCAAAGCUUAAUUAUUACUUUUAACUAAUACCUAAAACCAACCAGACCCCCCCCCCCCCAAAUAUUGAAUGACUCCAUAACCAUAUGGAAAACCUAAUGCUAGAACAAGUAACAAGAAGAAGACCUUCUCUAAAUGCAAGUGUAAUCCUCAAUGAACAAAUCACCGGAACUCACCGCCAAUGAACCAAAAGCGUUAACACCUCAAAACUACACUAAACAUAGCGUCAACCUUACACAAGAACAUUUCCAUGAAAGAUUAAAAAAAACGGAAGGAACUCGGCAAAUUUAGCCCCGCCUGUUUACCAAAAACAUCGCCUCUUGCUAAAAAAUAAGAGGUCCAGCCUGCCCAAUGAUUAUUUAAAUGGGCGCGGUAUCCUAACCGUGCGAAGGUAGCAUAAUCACUUGUCUACUAAAUAUAGACUUGUAUGAAUGGCAUCACGAGGACUAUACUGUCUCCCCCAUUUAAUCAGUAAAACUGAUCUUCCCGUGAAGAAGCGGGAAUUCAUCUAUAAGACGAGAAGACCCCAUGGAGCUUUAAACUAAGAGACAAAUGCCAAAUUCAACACCAUCAAAUUCUGCACCAAUGACUCAAAGUUUUCGGUUGGGGCGACCACGGAGCACAAAAAAACCUCCUCGAUGAAAGAAUAUAAAAUUCUUACCCUAGAACUACACCACAAAGGACCACUAACGUGACAUCCAUUGACCCAAACAUUUGAUCAACGAACCUAGUUACCCUGGGGAUAACAGCGCAAUCCAUUUCUAGAGCCCAUAUCGACAAAUGGGUUUACGACCUCGAUGUUGGAUCAGGAUAUCCUAGUGGUGCAACCGCUACUAAAGGUUCGUUUGUUCAACGAUUAAAACCCUACGUGAUCUGAGUUCAGACCGGAGCAAUCCAGGUCGGUUUCUAUCUAUAAAGAGUUUACUCCAGUACGAAAGGACCGAAUAAACAUGACCAAUGCAUAAACAAGCCAUAAUUAAACUAAUGCCACCAACUCAAUUAAUUUAGUCUACCAUAAAUACCUAGACAAGGUAC
rnacentral:rRNA from 1 species